rnacentral:rRNA from 1 species
CCAACAGGGAUUGCCUCAGUAACGGCGAGUGAAGCGGCAACAGCUCAAAUUUGAAAUCUGGCCCUAGGCCCGAGUUGUAAUUUGCAGAGGAUGCUUCUGGCGCGGUGCCUUCCAAGUCCCCUGGAACGGGGCGCCAUAGAGGGUGAGAGCCCCGUCUGGUUGGCCGCCAAGCCUGUGUGAAGCUCCUUCGACGAGUCGAGUAGUUUGGGAAUGCUGCUCUAAAUGGGAGGUAGACCCCUUCUAAAGCUAAAUACCGGCCAGAGACCGAUAGCGCACAAGUAGAGUGAUCGAAAGAUGAAAAGCACUUUGAAAAGAGGGUUAAACAGUACGUGAAAUUGUUGAAAGGGAAGCGCUUGUGACCAGACGUGCGUCGGGGUGUUCAGCGGGCGUUCUCGCCCGUGCACUCGCCCCGGUGCAGGCCAGCGUCGGUUCGGGUGGGGGGACAAAGGCGUCGGGAACGUAGCUCCUCCGGGAGUGUUAUAGCCCAGCGUGCCAUGCCCCCGCCUGGACCGAGGUUCGCGCUCCGCAAGGACGCUGGCGUAAUGGUCCCCAGCGGCCCGUCUUGAAACACGGACCAAGGAGUCGAGGUUUUGCGCGAGUGUUUGGGUGUCAAACCCGCACGCGUAAUGAAAGUGAACGCAGGUGGGAGCUUCGGCGCACCACCGACCGAUCCUGAUGUUCUCGGAUGGAUUUGAGUAAGAGCGUAGGGCCUCGGACCCGAAAGAUGGUGAACUAUACGUGAAUAGGGUGAAGCCAGAGGAAACUCUGGUGGAGGCUCGCAGCGGUUCUGACGUGCAAAUCGAUCGUCAAAUUUGCGUAUGGGGGCGAAAGACUAAUCGAACCAU